rnacentral:rRNA from 1 species
UUAAGCGACUAAGCGUACACGGUGGAUGCCCUGGCAGUCAGAGGCGAUGAAGGACGUGCUAAUCUGCGAAAAGCGCCGGCGAGGUGAUAUGAACCUUUGACCCGGCGAUGUCCGAAUGGGGAAACCCAGUGCAAUCCGUUGCACUAUCGUUAACUGAAUACAUAGGUUAACGAGGCGAACCGGGGGAACUGAAACAUCUAAGUACCCCGAGGAAAAGAAAUCAACCGAGAUUCCCCCAGUAGCGGCGAGCGAACGGGGAGCAGCCCGGAGUCUGAAUCAGCUUGUGUGUUAGUGGAACGGUCUGGAAAGUCCGACGGUACAGGGUGAUAGUCCCGUACACGAAAGCACAUAUGCUGUGAACUCGAAGAGUAGGGCGGGACACGUGGUAUCCUGUCUGAAUAUGGGGGGACCAUCCUCCAAGGCUAAAUACUCCUGACUGACCGAUAGUGAACCAGUACCGUGAGGGAAAGGCGAAAAGAACCCCGGCGAGGGGAGUGAAAAAGAACCUGAAACCGUGUACGUACAAGCAGUGGGAGCCUCUUUAUGGGGUGACUGCGUACCUUUUGUAUAAUGGGUCAGCGACUUAUAUUCUGUAGCAAGGUUAACCGUAUAGGGGAGCCGAAGGGAAACCGAGUCUUAACUGGGCGUUAAGUUGCAGGGUAUAGACCCGAAACCCGGUGAUCUAGCCAUGGGCAGGUUGAAGGUUGGGUAACACUAACUGGAGGACCGAACCGACUAAUGUUGAAAAAUUAGCGGAUGACCUGUGGCUGGGGGUGAAAGGCCAAUCAAACCGGGAGAUAGCUGGUUCUCCCCGAAAGCUAUUUAGGUAGCGCCUCGUGAACUCAUCUUCGGGGGUAGAGCACUGUUUCGGCUAGGGGGCCAUCCCGGCUUACCAACCCGAUGCAAACUACGAAUACCGAAGAAUGUUAUCACGGGAGACACACGGCGGGUGCUAACGUCCGUCGUGAAGAGGGAAACAACCCAGACCGCCAGCUAAGGUCCCAAAGUCAUGGUUAAGUGGGAAACGAUGUGGGAAGGCACAGACAGCCAGGAUGUUGGCUUAGAAGCAGCCAUCAUUUAAAGAAAGCGUAAUAGCUCACUGGUCGAGUCGGCCUGCGCGGAAGAUGUAACGGGGCUAAACCAUGCACCGAAGCUGCGGCAGCGACACUAUGUGUUGUUGGGUAGGGGAGCGUUCUGUAAGCCGUUGAAGGUGUGCUGUGAGGCAUGCUGGAGGUAUCAGAAGUGCGAAUGCUGACAUAAGUAACGAUAAAGCGGGUGAAAAGCCCGCUCGCCGGAAGACCAAGGGUUCCUGUCCAACGUUAAUCGGGGCAGGGUGAGUCGACCCCUAAGGCGAGGCCGAAAGGCGUAGUCGAUGGGAAACAGGUUAAUAUUCCUGUACUUGGUGUUACUGCGAAGGGGGGACGGAGAAGGCUAUGUCAGCCGGGCGACGGUUGUCCCGGUUUAAGCAUGUAGGCGGAGGUUCCAGGUAAAUCCGGUACCUUGUUAACGCUGAGGUGUGAUGACGAGGCACUACGGUGCUGAAGUGAUAAAUGCCCUGCUUCCAGGAAAAGCCUCUAAGCAUCAGGUAACACGAAAUCGUACCCCAAACCGACACAGGUGGUCAGGUAGAGAAUACCAAGGCGCUUGAGAGAACUCGGGUGAAGGAACUAGGCAAAAUGGUGCCGUAACUUCGGGAGAAGGCACGCUGAUAUGUAGGUGAAGCCCCUGCGGGCGGAGCUGAAAUCAGUCGAAGAUACCAGCUGGCUGCAACUGUUUAUUAAAAACACAGCACUGUGCAAACACGAAAGUGGACGUAUACGGUGUGACGCCUGCCCGGUGCCGGAAGGUUAAUUGAUGGGGUUAGCGGCAACGCGAAGCUCUUGAUCGAAGCCCCGGUAAACGGCGGCCGUAACUAUAACGGUCCUAAGGUAGCGAAAUUCCUUGUCGGGUAAGUUCCGACCUGCACGAAUGGCGUAAUGAUGGCCAGGCUGUCUCCACCCGAGACUCAGUGAAAUUGAACUCGCUGUGAAGAUGCAGUGUACCCGCGGCAAGACGGAAAGACCCCGUGAACCUUUACUAUAGCUUGACACUGAACACUGGUCCUUGAUGUGUAGGAUAGGUGGGAGGCUUUGAAGCGUGGACGCCAGUCUGCGUGGAGCCAACCUUGAAAUACCACCCUUUAAUGGCUGGUGUUCUAACGUAGACCCGUAAUCCGGGUUGCGGACAGUGUCUGGUGGGUAGUUUGACUGGGGCGGUCUCCUCCCAAAGAGUAACGGAGGAGCACGAAGGUUGGCUAAUCCUGGUCGGACAUCAGGAGGUUAGUGCAAUGGCAUAAGCCAGCUUGACUGCGAGCGUGACGGCGCGAGCAGGUGCGAAAGCAGGUCAUAGUGAUCCGGUGGUUCUGAAUGGAAGGGCCAUCGCUCAACGGAUAAAAGGUACUCCGGGGAUAACAGGCUGAUACCGCCCAAGAGUUCAUAUCGACGGCGGUGUUUGGCACCUCGAUGUCGGCUCAUCACAUCCUGGGGCUGAAGUAGGUCCCAAGGGUAUGGCUGUUCGCCAUUUAAAGUGGUACGCGAGCUGGGUUUAGAACGUCGUGAGACAGUUCGGUCCCUAUCUGCCGUGGGCGCUGGAGAAUUGAGGGGGGCUGCUCCUAGUACGAGAGGACCGGAGUGGACGCAUCACUGGUGUUCGGGUUGUCAUGCCAAUGGCACUGCCCGGUAGCUAAAUGCGGAAGAGAUAAGUGCUGAAAGCAUCUAAGCACGAAACUUGCCCCGAGAUGAGUUCUCCCUGAGACNACGACGUUGAUAGGUCGGGUGUGUAAGCGCAGCGAUGCGUUGAGCUAACCGAUACUAAUGAACCGUGAGGCUUAACCUU